UACGUAGGGGGCAAGCGUUGUCCGGAAUCAUUGGGCGUAAAGAGCGUGUAGGCGGCCAGAUAAGUCCGCUGUGAAAACUCGAGGCUCAACUUCGAGCUGUCGGUGGAAACUAUUUGGCUAGAGUCCGGAAGAGGAGAGUGGAAUUCCUGGUGUAGCGGUGAAAUGCGCAGAUAUCAGGAAGAACACCCGUGGCGAAGGCGGCUCUCCGGUACGGAACUGACGCUGAGACGCGAAAGCGUGGGGAGCGAACAGG
rnacentral:rRNA from 1 species